GGCGGCAGGCCUAACACAUGCAAGUCGAACGCACCGCAAGGUGAGUGGCAGACGGGUGAGUAACACGUGGGAACCUUCCUAUUAGUAUGGAAUAGCCCGGCGAAAGCCGGAUUAAUACCGUAUACGCCCUAAGGGGGAAAGAUUUAUCGCUAAUAGAUGGGCCCGCGUAAGAUUAGCUAGUUGGUGAGGUAAUGGCUCACCAAGGCUACGAUCUUUAGCUGGUUUGAGAGAAUGAUCAGCCACACUGGAACUGAGACACGGUCCAGACUCCUACGGGAGGCAGCAGUGGGGAAUAUUGGACAAUGGGCGCAAGCCUGAUCCAGCCAUGCCGCGUGAAUGAUGAAGGCCUUCGGGUUGUAAAGUUCUUUUAGUGGGGAAAAUAAUGAUGGUAUCCACAGAAAAAGCCCCGGCUAACUUCGUGCCAGCAGCCGCGGUAAUACGAAGGGGGCUAGCGUUGUUCGGAAUUACUGGGCGUAAAGGGUUUGUAGGCGGUUGAACAAGUCAGUGGUGAAAGCCCA
rnacentral:rRNA from 1 species